GACGUAGGGGGCAAGCGUUGUCCGGAUUUACUGGGCGUAAAGGGCGCGUAGGCGGCUACGGAAGUCCGGCGUGAAAGGUCGUGGCUCAACCGCGAACCUGCGUCGGAUACUCCGUUGGCUUGAGGACGGUAGAGGUGAGUGGAACUAGCGGUGUAGCGGUGAAAUGCGCAGAUAUCGCUAGGAACGCCGGUGGCGAAGGCUGCUCACUGGGCCGAUCCUGACGCUGAGGCGCGAAAGCUAGGGGAGCGAACCGG
rnacentral:misc_RNA from 1 species